GGGGAGCCUGGUGUGAUGUCGAGCAGGAGAAAAGAAGAAGAGGGAGCCAAUUUCAUCAUGACAAUCACAAAAUUGGAUGGUUAAAACUCCAACUCUGCUCUCUUUGAUCAAUUUCUAGCAUUCUUGGUGAAAUAACGUCUGGAUGGCAACGGGUCAAACAAGUAAUAAAGCAAUAACACUCCAACGGGCGAAGGUGAUAAGUCAUGAAAAUCAACGGGGUGACUUGAACCGGAAUCAUGAAAGAAGAAAAGACCCACAAGUCGUUCACAAAUAAUUCGUUUGGGGUGGUAGAAAGGCGAAAGUGAUCAAGUUUUGGAAGCGGGUCAAAGAUAGGAGGAUUUAGUGAUAUGUUCACUAAGUAUAGAGGUUUCCUUAUUGGGCCAAUUAGACUUAAGUAUUUGUAUUUUGGAGUUUAAGUCCAACGUUUAUUUUAGCUUUGUAUGUUUACUUAGCAUACUUAGUACAUUG